GGCCCAAACGGCCAAACCCAAACAUUCUCUUGUAAACUUCGAUAGGGUUUCGCUAUAUAUUAUCCCAAAACCCUCAUCCUUUCCUUUACUUACUGUAACUCCCUUUCUCUCUCUUCGGCUGCUACAUCCGUCGAUUAGGGUUUUGAGGUUGCCGGCUUUCUUCAUCCUUUCAUCAUGAGGGCCAAGUGGAAGAAGAAGCGUAUGAGGAGAUUGAAGAGGAAGCGCCGAAAGAUGAGACAGAGAUCUAAGUAGAAGAAGAUCUACAGCUUUCAUGGUUACUCCUUUAGUUUUUAAUUUUGUUUCCGUUUUGUUAAAUCUUAGUUCGUCGAUCGAUUAGCUGUUUCUAUGGCAAUCGAAGUGAUUUAGGUACUAAGUUUUUUCGUGUCAUGUAAUUGAUACAUUUUGAUAAACAUGAAUUUUGGAGUAAUGUAACUCUUGAGUUUUUUCUACCUAUUAUCGUUAAUCUCCUUGGUUUUAAUA